CACGGGGGGAGCAGGCGUUGUUCGGAUUCAUUGGGCGUAAAGGGCUCGUAGGUGGCUUUGUAAGUCGGAGGUGAAAUCCCACGGCUCAACCGUGGACACGCCUUCGAAACUGUGAAGCUUGAGGCUGGGAGAGGAGAUCGGAAUUCCUGGUGUAGCGGUGAAAUGCGUAGAUAUCGAGAGGAACAUCGGUGGCGAAGGCGGCCUUCUGGACAGUGACUGACGCUGAGACGCGAAAGCGUGGGGAGCAAACAGG
rnacentral:rRNA from 1 species